rnacentral:lncRNA from 1 species
GAUUCCGGAAGUCCCGCCUUCGUUUCGGGCAGUGCUUGACGCCAUGAGAAGGCGACGCUGGGAUAUGUGCGUGGCUGUAGCGCAGGGAGGAAAGCGGAGUCUGCGAGCUGCGUAUGUUCUGGCGGCGCUGAGAGCGCUCGGGUCGAGCGGCACGGACUGAGGUCUCUGGAUCCCGGCCUCUGAUCCCCGGCCAUGAACUCCGGAGCCGCGUGCGUCUGGGGUCCGAGUCGGUCUUAUUUGCUCGCAGCCAACCAGCAAGUACCGAGAACCAGAAGGAGCACAGGCAGAUCGGGACCCUGCUGCGGGCGGACAGGCGAGCGGGAGGAUGGAGAGCUUCUCCCGCUGUAGUGUGGUCCAAGCCUCAUCGCCAGGGCAUUGACCCCGGAUCAGUAAACACUGCACAGUGAGGUGAAGGAAGCGACUUCCACCGGAGCACAUCUGAAGCGAUGGCGGGGAUCUGCCUGGGCUUCAGCUGAAAAACGAAUAGGCACGGAGACACGAAGACUUCAUCUUGCCGGCGCUUGCGUGCUUCCAAGACCGCAGUAAAGUGUGCUUAAUUGUAAGAUACAUUCAAGAUCCAAAAAUCUUAAUACGGAAAUGUUAAUUAUAAGUUUACAUUAAAUGAUACUUUAUAUAUAUUGGGUUCUGUAGAAUAUAUUGUUAUGUUUACUUUCACUUUU